UUCCCCAUUCUUCAGCUUGCUUCCUCUCUGUUCUCCCACUCAAUCCACUCAAAUCUUCAUGUUUUUCGUAUGAGAAUCAAUAUGGUAUCAGAGCGGAUCGAUCCUGCGUGAUCUUCCCCUGAUUCAAUCGAGCGCGGCGCUGUGUUGCGUGAGUUGUUGGGUGGUAGAGCUGUUACGGUCAGGUUGUGCUCAGGGAGCCUCCAUCGCCGCCGGUGUGGUGCUGUGUCGCCGUCCCGUCCAAUUGCAGAGUCUCCUAGGCUCCUAGCGAGGGUUCUAUUCUCUGCUGCAGUUGAGCAAGAAGGAGAGCCGAGAGCUUUGGUCUUGUGCUCAAGCAAAAAAGGAGCUAAGGACUGGGAGAAUCUUGGGGACUGGGACCGAGCAUGAUGGACUCUAUUAUCCUGAUGAUGGAAGUGAUGAAGUGGCUCUUGCAUGUUGCUUGUCUCCCUGUCAAGAGUUAUUGUUGCAUCACCGCAGGCUUGGACAUCCUUCUUUUGCUAUCUUAUCCCGUGUUUAUCCUGUUUUAUUUAAGUUGUGUCCUAAAGAGACCCUGGUAUGUGAUGCUUGUGAACUAGCUAAACAUACCAGGGGAUCUUAUCCUAGUAUUAGUCUUAGAAGUGAAAAACCAUUUGAAAAAAUUCACUCUGAUGUUUGGGGACCCUGUGAGGUUCACUCAGUUUCUGGACACCGAUGGUUUGUGACCUUUAUUGAUUGCUUUAGUCGCUACACUUGGCUUUAUCUUCUAAAGCAUAAGAGUGAUGUGUUAUCAAUUUUCAAA